rnacentral:misc_RNA from 1 species
UCAGCUACGGGGCUACGGCCCCGAUGUUGAACCCUUGUGUAAACAAAACCACGUUGCCCCGGGGGCGACCCCGCCGCGCGGUACCGCCGCGCUGGCGAGGGGCCCCCGGCGGUCCACUAAACACUGCAUCAAUGCGUCUGAGCGAUUAUUAAAUCAAUCAA